AAGUGCUGUCCAAAGGCUCCUGCAGCUCUGGCAGCCUGGGGGCCGUGCCCAUUCCCUGGGGAAUGCCAGCCCCAGCACCCUCUGGGGAAGAACCUUUUGCUGAUAUCCAACCUGAACCUCUCCUGACACAAUUUCAGGUCAUUCCAAAUCCCUGGUCACCACAGAGCGAUCAGUGGCUGCUCCUCCUCUUCCACUCAGGAGGAAGCUGUAGAUCCCUCGUCCCCUACAGAUGAACUGCCCGAGUGCCCUCAGGCGCUGCUCACACAGCUUCCCCUCACGGCCCUCCGCCAUCUUUGUGUCCCUCCUUUGGAUAGUCUCUAAUAGUUUAAUAUUCUUUUUUAUAUUUUAUAUUUGGCACCCAAAACUUCACAGAGUACUCAAGGUGUCAGUCCUGUUACAAGCAAAACUUUUCCUUCCAUCGGAAACUCCCAGGAUGAAGGCUUUGCUCCAGACACACAAUGGGUUUUGGGGAGGAAUCUUCUCUCUCCAGCACAAGCUCAACACAAAGAAAGAAAGAAAGAAAGAAAGAAAGAAAGAAAGAAAGAAAGAAAGAAAGAAAGAAAGAAAGAAAGAAAAGAAAGAAAGAAAGAAAGAAAGAAAGAAAACCACAUCCCACCUUAAAAAUGAAAACCCAAAGGCCCUGUGAUUGUAUAAUCAACAUCACUGCACAGCUUCCAGCACUUGCACUCUGCUAUUCAGCCUUGAUCCCAUGUGGUCCUACCGAAGACCUACCAGAUUUUGACUGAAGUAGUUAAAAUUUCAUGUGUGGCUAAAUAUAACCUGCCAGUCAGGAAAUGCUGCAUGGAUGGAACCUUCCAGCAGGGCAGGAGCAGGCAUGGAGCUGGACUAGGUAACCCAAGCGCAUCCAAAACAUUUUACACCAGACUGGAGUCAACUCUGGUCGUGUCUGACAGCUCCUGGGGCUGCCUCUGCAGAGAGCAGGAAAUGGUUUCUGUUCACGCCAUCUCCAUGUUGUGUUUUUGAUCUAAAUCUCAUCCAGGAGAACUUUGAUAGUUCCUAAUUCUGGCUGUAAAUAUUUUGGCUGCAGCAGAACAAGCUCUGGGUUUGAACAGGCUUCAACAAUUUUUGGUUGUUUCAAGUUUUCACCUCCCCAAAUAUUAUUCUAAGGGAUUUGUCUCUGAGUCUCUGCAGGGAAUGAUCCCUAGUUCUGAGGUAGCCCUUUGUGUAGCAUAAACUGUUCUUCAGUUUAAUAUUUCAUAGAGUUACAAACUGUUAGAAGUUAUUCCAGGAUUGUUCCUCUGCUUCUUGUCCCCUUGCCCUUAAAACUUGUUGGAAUUGUCAGAAUGGUACUAAAGAAAAUUGUGCCUUUAAGAAAUGUUCUUCUGUCAGUUUGUUUUAUAUUUUAGGCCAAUCUCUCCAGAAUCCUUACCUAACCUUUACAGUGCUGGAGAAAGGGGAGGGGAAAAAAAGGUUGCUAGGAUACUUGCAAAAAGGCAAAUUAGCUGCACUAGAAAUAAAACAAAAGGAUGAAAAAUCUCUAACCUUUUGAGUUAAACACCCAGUUCCAGCCACUGCCAAAAUUUCAUGGUCCUUCUUUUUGAGACAAAGCAAUGCAGAAUGUCACAGAGCCGCAAUUUCACAGGCAUAUGGGAUUUUAAAGCAUUGCCUCACUGCAUUAAGGUUAAGAUAUGACAAACUCUAUGGUAAGUUUCUCCUGCUGUUGGCAGAAAAUUUGAUAAUUAUUUAUAAAUUUAUAUAUAUUUCUAUUUCUAUCCAUGUUUGGAAGUGGAACUUCAGAAUUUUAGAUAUUCCAUAACACACUGAGCUCAGCUGAGCAAAGCUGAGUCCCUAAAACCAGGUAUGUAAGACUUCAAUCAAAGACUUACUUUUGAACAGAGCUGUGGAGUCCUUGUUUUAUAUCACUUUAGUUCUACUGAACGUUUCUUCAUUUAUAGCUUUGGCAGCAAAAAAAUCCACAAGAAAAGAAAAGAUGGAAAUUCUUUCCCUUCACUAAAAUAUGCACCACUGAUUGAAACACUGACAAGAAAUCAACCCUUGCAU